rnacentral:lncRNA from 1 species
AUAAAUAGAAAGAAAAUACCGAGUAAUAUCGAAUAAAAUGAAAUAAAUUGAAGUAAAUAAUAAUAUAAUUUAAUUAAAUUAUGUCCUAGAAUGUUAUAUCAUUUCAUGUUAUCAAACUCCCCCAUACUUAGAUCUUUGCUUGUCCUCAAGCAAAAUACAGUAUAGAACUUGUUUUAAGAAUUUAGCCAGAUGAAAUUCCAAAACAC